rnacentral:rRNA from 1 species
GACGAACGCUGGCGGCGUGCUUAACACAUGCAAGUCGAACGGAAAGGCCCUGCUUUUGUGGGGUGCUCGAGUGGCGAACGGGUGAGUAACACGUGAGUAACCUGCCCUUGACUUUGGGAUAACUUCAGGAAACUGGGGCUAAUACCGGAUAGGAGCUCCUGCUGCAUGGUGGGGAUUGGAAAGUUUCGGCGGUUGGGGAUGGACUCGCGGCUUAUCAGCUUGUUGGUGGGGUAGUGGCUUACCAAGGCUUUGACGGGUAGCCGGCCUGAGAGGGUGACCGGCCACAUUGGGACUGAGAUACGGCCCAGACUCCUACGGGAGGCAGCAGUGGGGAAUAUUGCACAAUGGGCGGAAGCCUGAUGCAGCAACGCCGCGUGCGGGAUGACGGCCUUCGGGUUGUAAACCGCUUUCGCCUGUGCCGAAGCGUGAGUGACGGUAAUGGGUAAAGAAGCACCGGCUAACUACGUG